GACAGAGGUCCCGAGCGUUAGGCGGAAUCACUGGGCUUAAAGCGUGUGUAGGCGGAUCGUUAAGUGCCUUGUGAAAUCCCUCGGCUUAACCGGGGAACUGCGUCUGAUACUGGAUGGCUUGAGUUCGGGAGAGGGAUGCGGAAUUCCAGGUGUAGCGGUGAAAUGCGUAGAUAUCUGGAGGAACACCGGUGGCGAAGGCGGCAUCCUGGACCGAUACUGACGCUGAGGAGCGAAAGCCAGGGGAGCAAACGGG
rnacentral:rRNA from 1 species